rnacentral:rRNA from 1 species
AUUGAACGCUGGCGGCAGGCUUAACACAUGCAAGUCGAGUGGAGAUGAGGUGCUUGCACCUUAUCUUAGCGGCGGACGGGUGAGUAAUGCUUAGGAAUCUGCCUAUUAGUGGGGGACAACAUUCCGAAAGGAAUGCUAAUACCGCAUACGUCCUACGGGAGAAAGCAGGGGAUCUUCGGACCUUGCGCUAAUAGAUGAGCCUAAGUCGGAUUAGCUAGUUGGUGGGGUAAAGGCCUACCAAGGCGACGAUCUGUAGCGGGUCUGAGAGGAUGAUCCGCCACACUGGGACUGAGACACGGCCCAGACUCCUACGGGAGGCAGCAGUGGGGAAUAUUGGACAAUGGGGGGAACCCUGAUCCAGCCAUGCCGCGUGUGUGAAGAAGGCCUUAUGGUUGUAAAGCACUUCAAGCGAGGAGGAGGCUACUGAGACUAAUACUCUUGGAUAGUGGACGUUACUCGCAGAAUAAGCACCGGCUAACUCUGUGCCAGCAGCCGCCGUAAUAC